GAUGAACGCUAGCUGGAGGCUUAAUACAUGCAAGUCGAGCGGGAUUGGGUAGCAAUACCCAUGAGAGCGGCGCACGGGUGAGUAACGCGUACACGACCUACCUCUAACAGGGGGAUAGCCCUGGGAAACUGGGAUUAAUACCGCAUAUAAUUCUGACAAAUAAAGAGUUGGAAUGAAAGUUCAGGCGGUUAGAGAUGGGUGUGCGUCUGAUUAGCUAGUUGGUAGGGUAACGGCCUACCAAGGCGAUGAUCAGUAGGGGGCGUGAGAGCGUGGUCCCCCACACGGGUACUGAGACACGGACCCGACUCCUACGGGAGGCAGCAGUAAGGAAUAUUGGACAAUGGCCGCAAGGCUGAUCCAGCCAUCCAGCGUGCAGGAAGAAGGCCCUAUGGGUUGUAAACUGCUUUUGUCAGGGAAUAAACCUGUGGAUUCACUCCGCAGCUGAAGGUACCUGAAGAAUAAGCACCGGCUAACUCCGUGCCAGCAGCCGCCGUAAAAC
rnacentral:rRNA from 1 species